CCGAGUGAGCUGUCCACACAUUAAUCACUGAGGUUAGCUGAAGACUUGCCUCAUCAGUAUUCAGCACUCUGCCUUAAGAUGUAAGCAGACAAGAAACUUCCUCGGAUGGAGGGAUGGAGAGGAAAAGAAGAAAUCUUAUCUGAGACCAAAGACUGACAUCCUUUACUCAUACCCAACUCCCAUUGACUUCAAUCAACUUCAGCUUCACAUCAGGAAGAAUUUUGCUGGAGGACAGAAUUUUGAAUUUCACUGCAAUGAAUGAGAGCUCCUGUUGCAGAGACACAAGAGCAGAAACUGCCCUGGGAACCAGUGCCUGGCUAGGGAAAACUGAGAAGGCAACAUAAAAAUGUUGAAUGAAUGAAAAAAAGUGAAGGAAGUGCAGAUACAUGGAGGAAGAGAAUUCCAGGCAGAGGAAACACAAAAUAUGAAGACUUUAAAGUGGGAGUGGUCUGUGUAGUGUCUUCAAUGAACGCCACAGAGUUAUGAGCUGGAGUGGAGUAAUGAUGAGAAGAAAAGUAGAAGAUGACAUCAGAAAGAUUGGCAGAUAGGAUUGUGGAUAGUCACAAAGGGCAGAGGUGCGGAAUAGCACUGCAUUUACCAACAAGAAUGGGGAGUCACAGCUUCCCGGGGCAAGGCCCCUCGCCGAUGGUGAAAGCGUGUGUCUCAGG
rnacentral:lncRNA from 1 species